UUGCCUACGGGGGGCAGCAGUGGGGAAUAUUGGGCAAUGGGGGAAACCCUGACCCAGCAACGCCGCGUGAGGGAAGAAGGCUUUCGGGUUGUAAACCUCUGUCCUUGGGGACGAAGGAAGUGACGGUACCCAAGGAGGAAGCUCCGGCUAACUACGUGCCAGCAGCCGCGGUAAUACGUAGGGAGCAAGCGUUGUCCGGAAUUACUGGGCGUAAAGGGUGCGUAGGCGGCUUGGUAAGUCAGAUGUGAAAUACCCGUGCUUAACAUGGGGGGUGCAUCUGAUACUGUCAGGCUUGAGGGCAGGAG
rnacentral:rRNA from 1 species